rnacentral:tRNA from 1 species
ACUUAAAUAAUUUAAUUUUAAAAUAUCAGCUUGUGGGUCUGAAUAUGUAUAUUUACUUUAAGUU